rnacentral:lncRNA from 1 species
AACAUUUCACAUUCCUCUAGAUCUAUACAAGUUCUGUUAGCAGUACUACCACACUAAGCUCAAAAAUUCACCUAAAGGAUUUGAGACUUGUUAAUCAGGACUACUACUCAAGUGUCUGAAUGUCCAUAAGCACUCUGCAAUCAUUUUUUGAGGUUCUUCAGCCCUAACAUGUGGAAAGUCCCAGGGAGACAAGUGUUUUUGUUUUUCCUCCCCUUAAACAGGGGCUUGGGUUCUUGACAACAUAAUUUUCAGUGGAGCAUUUUAUUUUUUCUUGCAACCUCAUAUUUUGGUCCUCUGGUUACAUAUGUUUCUAGGAACACCCAUCCCUACAGAAUGGACUGAUCAUUCCAGUUACUGUCACUACAUGGUUUUUCAGAACAGUGAGAAGUCCAAUAAAAUAAAUAUCAACAUUGUAUUAAGAUGCUGUUGAGAUAUCUUGUUACCACUGAACUAUCUUGGAAAUUACUUCUAUCUCACCUAGGAUGGGCUUUCAAAGGCAAAGAGUUAAAAGGAUGUAUGCCUCAAUGUUUCCUUUCUAAUACAUGAGUUUAUUUUGAAGACUAACAGAUUUAUUCAAAGUUACUACAUGUAAUGCAAGAAGAAAAAAGGCUAAAAACUACUCUUUGUAUGACUGAUUGUUAAUGACCUCAGCUGAAAUCAGAAUUGUGCAAAGUACCACAGCAAACUCCAGGACGCUGAAAAGAGACCGUUCCUUGUCUAUGAAAUUCUUAUUAGUGACAUGUAUGGAAGCAGUGGUUGAUUCUGGCUGAGUAUGGAAGAUGUAUUCAUAAUUGUACUCUGUCCCUUUUAACAAGACUGUUUCAUCAUCUACAAGCACGAAAGGUUAAGUAAUGCUUUUGCUUUGAGAUCUCUUCUUAUAAUGUAAUGUACUUUUCCACAAAUAUUUUCUCAUUAUCAACAUUUUUUCCUAAUCUAAUUUUUCUGUAAUGGCUUCAGUGCUUCGUUGUAAAUACUGUGUCAGUUCCCCCCCAAAAAUUAAGUUUUUGGGAUUUCUGUAUUUAAUAAAUUUGGCAAGUAGCAAAAGACA